rnacentral:rRNA from 1 species
CCUACGGGUGUCAGCAGUGGGGAAUAUUGGGCAAUGGGCGCAAGCCUGACCCAGCAACGCCGCGUGAAUGAAGAAGGCUUUCGGGUUGUAAACUUCUUUUUUCAGGGACGAAGCAAUUUACGGUACCUGAGGAAUAAGCCACGGCUAACUACGUGCCAGCAGCCGCGGUAAUACGUAGGUGGCAAGCGUUAUCAGGAUUUACUGGGUGUAAAGGGCGUGUUGGCGGGACUGCAAGUCAGCUGUGAAAACCACGGGCUCAACCUGUGGCCUGCAUUUGAUACUGUAGUUCUUGAGUACUGGAGAGGCAGACGGAAUGCCUGGUGUAGCGGUGAAAUGCGGAGAGAUUAGGAGGAACACCAGUGGCGAAGGCGGUCUGCUGGACAGCAACUGACGCUGAGGCGCGAAAGCGUGGGGAGCAAACAGGAUUAGAUACCCUAGUAGUC